UUGAGUUCCUGUCCUGACUUCCUUCACUGAUGAACAGCAAUGCUGAAGUCUUGGUGACUGAUGAUGACAAAUGGGAAGAAGCUGGCUUGCUCUGCCUGGCUCAGGCUUAAAUGAGGACAAAACAAGAGUUGACAGACAGAAGCCCGAGUGGCCAUGAUCUCAAAUGUACCUAUGAAGGGAUGGGCGCAGCCAGCCUCGCAUCCCCAUUAAUUUCAAUUGUAAAUGGUUGCACGCUGAAACCAACUAGCAGCAAUGGUGACAACAGAGACGCCUACUGGACCAUGAUGUGAUCAAUGAGAAACCCUGUCUCAGAGGCUGGGAAACAAGGAGCAACACCCAAGGUUAUCCCCUGACUUCUAUGCCAUGCACACAUGGACUGCACCCACCCUCAAUCCUCUCCACAUCACUCAUACACCAUCCCUUGACGCACCCUUCCCCCAGAAGGGCCUCUUCUGUGGGUUGUGCUGUGGAAUAUUGUUUUAACUGGGCAAAUGUGUAUUACGUUUGGUUAAG